AACCAUUCUCACCUGCGGCUAGACCUGCGGAAGGAUCAUUACCUAGAGUUGUAGGCUUUGCCUGCUAUCUCUUACCCAUGUCUUUUGAGUACCUUACGUUUCCUCGGCGGGUUCGCCCGCCGGUUGGACAAAACUUAAACCCUUUGUAGUUGCAAUCAGCGUCUGAAAAAACUUAAUAGUUACAACUUUCAACAAUGGAUCU
rnacentral:misc_RNA from 1 species